AGGGGCAUCAUCCAAUGGUAGGAUAUCGGUCUCCAAAACCGCCAAUGAGGGUUCGAAUCCUUCUGCCCCUG
rnacentral:tRNA from 1 species